rnacentral:rRNA from 1 species
UACGUAGGGGGCAAGCGUUAUCCGGAUUUACUGGAUGUAAAGGGAGCGUAGACGGCAGAGCAAGUCUGAAGUGAAAGCCCGCGGCCCAACUGCGGGACUGCUUUGGAAACUGCCCGGCUAGAGUGCUGGAGAGGUAAGCGGAAUUCCUAGUGUAGCGGUGAAAUGCGUAGAUAUUAGGAGGAACACCAGUGGCGAAGGCGGCUUACUGGACAGUAACUGACGUUGAGGCUCGAAAGCGUGGGGAGCAAACAGG